UAUUUCUGUUGGGAAACAUUUUUGUAUGACUGAUUCACUAAUCAACUUGGUUUGGGCUUCAUAAAAGGUAGUGCUGGGAACACUGAGUCAGUCCUUCUUUCUUACUUCCAUCCUGCACAGAGGAAGAGAAUGCAAAAAGCUAAAAUAUGCAAUUGAACACUUGAAUUGAUUUCCACUGGAGUUUUAGUCACCAAGAAAGUUCUUUAUAUUCUGCAGAAAUGCAUUUUUAUUUCUGCUCAACUGGUGAAAAAGAAGGAAAGAUACUUCAAGAUGACCUAACCUAAGAAUAAAAGUCUCUGGAAGCAAAUGGUAGUUAAACAAGAUAACGUUGGCUAAACAAAUAUUCCACUCAUCAAAAGGAACAGAUAAAGAGAAUUCCCAAGUUCUAAAUUGUGAGAACAAAUGGGCCUCUUCUACAUUCAUUUCUCACCUUUAUUCCAAUCAGGUCCAUGCCUCAGGCAAGGUCUGGGAUGGUCUCAGGACCAAAGAACGUGAGUAGGAAAGUGUGCAGCAGCCUCGUCUCCAAGUAAAAAAUCAACUGUAAUAAACUAAAGCAUGUGGCUUAGGUGCAAGAUCCUGUGCUGGCCCCCUGGGGUUGAGAGGGGAAACCUGAGUGCUAUAGCCCUUAA
rnacentral:lncRNA from 1 species